rnacentral:rRNA from 3 species
AGACCCGAAACCCGGUGAUCUAGCCAUGGGCAGGUUGAAGGUUGGGUAACACUAACUGGAGGACCGAACCGACUAAUGUUGAAAAAUUAGCGGAUGACCUGUGGCUGGGGGUGAAAGGCCAAUCAAACCGGGAGAUAGCUGGUUCUCCCCGAAAGCUAUUUAGGUAGCGCCUCGUGAAUUCAUCUCCGGGGGUAGAGCACUGUUUCGGCUAGGGGGCCAUCCCGGCUUACCAACCCGAUGCAAACUGCGAAUACCGGAGAAUGUUAUCACGGGAGACACACGGCGGGUGCUAACGUCCGUCGUGAAGAGGGAAACAACCCAGACCGCCAGCUAAGGUCCCAAAGUCAUGGUUAAGUGGGAAACGAUGUGGGAAGGCCCAGACAGCCAGGAUGUUGGCUUAGAAGCAGCCAUCAUUUAAAGAAAGCGUAAUAGCUCACUGGUCGAGUCGGCCUGCGCGGAAGAUGUAACGGGGCUAAACCAUGCACCGAAGCUGCGGCAGCGAACGUAUCACCCAAGACAACUUUACGGAGUUGACGAUUGACGGAGCGAAGCGACGUCAAAGCGUUCAUUAAAGUCGAGUUGGCUUAGGGAUACGUUCGUUGGGUAGGGGAGCGUUCUGUAAGCCUGUGAAGGUGUGUCGUGAGGCAUGCUGGAGGUAUCAGAAGUGCGAAUGCUGACAUAAGUAACGAUAAAGCGGGUGAAAAGCCCGCUCGCCGGAAGACCAAGGGUUCCUGUCCAACGUUAAUCGGGGCAGGGUGAGUCGACCCCUAAGGCGAGGCCGAAAGGCGUAGUCGAUGGGAAACGGGUUAAUAUUCCCGUACUUGGUGUUACUGCGAAGGGGGGACGGAGAAGGCUAUGUUGGCCGGGCGACGGUUGUCCCGGUUUAAGCGUGUAGGUGUGUGUUCCAGGUAAAUCCGGUUCACUUUAACACUGAGGCGUGACGACGAGGCACUACGGUGCUGAAGCAACAAAUGCCCUGCUUCCAGGAAAAGCCUCUAAGCAUCAGGUAACACGAAAUCGUACCCCAAACCGACACAGGUGGUCAGGUAGAGAAUACCAAGGCGCUUGAGAGAACUCGGGUGAAGGAACUAGGCAAAAUGGUGCCGUAACUUCGGGAGAAGGCACGCUGACACGUAGGUGAAGUGAUUUACUCAUGGAGCUGAAGUCAGUCGAAGAUACCAGCUGGCUGCAACUGUUUAUUAAAAACACAGCACUGUGCAAACACGAAAGUGGACGUAUACGGUGUGACGCCUGCCCGGUGCCGGAAGGUUAAUUGAUGGGGUCAGCGUAAGCGAAGCUCCUGAUCGAAGCCCCGGUAAACGGCGGCCGUAACUAUAACGGUCCUAAGGUAGCGAAAUUCCUUGUCGGGUAAGUUCCGACCUGCACGAAUGGCGUAAUGAUGGCCAGGCUGUCUCCACCCGAGACUCAGUGAAAUUGAACUCGCUGUGAAGAUGCAGUGUACCCGCGGCAAGACGGAAAGACCCCGUGAACCUUUACUAUAGCUUGACACUGAACAUUGAGCCUUGAUGUGUAGGAUAGGUGGGAGGCUUUGAAGUGUGGACGCCAGUCUGCAUGGAGCCGACCUUGAAAUACCACCCUUUAAUGUUUGAUGUUCUAACGUGGACCCGUAAUCCGGGUUGCGGACAGUGUCUGGUGGGUAGUUUGACUGGGGCGGUCUCCUCCUAAAGAGUAACGGAGGAGCACGAAGGUUGGCUAAUCCUGGUCGGACAUCAGGAGGUUAGUGCAAUGGCAUAAGCCAGCUUGACUGCGAGCGUGACGGCGCGAGCAGGUGCGAAAGCAGGUCAUAGUGAUCCGGUGGUUCUGAAUGGAAGGGCCAUCGCUCAACGGAUAAAAGGUACUCCGGGGAUAACAGGCUGAUACCGCCCAAGAGUUCAUAUCGACGGCGGUGUUUGGCACCUCGAUGUCGGCUCAUCACAUCCUGGGGCUGAAGUAGGUCCCAAGGGUAUGGCUGUUCGCCAUUUAAAGUGGUACGCGAGCUGGGUUUAGAACGUCGUGAGACAGUUCGGUCCCUAUCUGCCGUGGGCGCUGGAGAACUGAGGGGGGCUGCUCCUAGUACGAGAGGACCGGAGUGGACGCAUCACUGGUGUUCGGGUUGUCAUGCCAAUGGCACUGCCCGGUAGCUAAAUGCGGAAGAGAUAAGUGCUGAAAGCAUCUAAGCACGAAACUUGCCCCGAGAUGAGUUCUCCCUGAGACUUAG